CCUUGGAUCUGAAGCUGCCCUUAAAUCCAGCCACUUCUCCAUAUUCCAGGUGACGGGCAUCCCGCAGGCCCUGCACUCCGAGGGCAGCCUGAGCUGGGGCCCCUGCGAGGUCAGUCUGGCCACGGGCCUCCGCAGCGACCAUGGGGAUGCCCACCUGCAGCUGGCCCGCACCUGUGGGUCCCAGACCUCGGUCGUCGGGCGCCUGGGCCACUCCCUGCCCCUGCUGGGCCGCCUGGGCCUGCCACCCAGCAGCGCCAUCAGCCUGGCUGUCCAGCCCCGCCCUGCCGCCCGCAGCUCCCUGGCCGUCCAGCUGGGGCCAUGCCAGCUGCAGGGGACGCUGGAUCACCGCACUGGGCACCAGAGCGCAUGGACACUGGCCACCGAACCCGGCUGCCCUCUGCUGGAGGGCCUGGGCCUCCCAGCAGGGACAGAGCUCAGUGGCUCCCUGAAGACCGAAGGUGGGGAAGCAGAGGUGUCCGGGGCCCUCGCAUGGGCUGGCCAGACCGCCUCCCUGACCUUGGCGGCGGCCGUGCACCAGUCCGAGGCCACACUCCGAGUGAAGCUAAGUCACGCGCUGCCGGCACUGCAGACCGUCCCCCCAGAGGCCUUGCUGACCGUCCAGCUUGGGUGGGAGGCCGGGCACCGGCUGGGUCUGGAGCUACAGGUGGGGGCCUGUGAGCUGCAGGGCAGUGGUGAGCUGCACCUGGACCGUGGGCUACAGUGGCAGGUGCUCGCCCAGAGCUCCUGUGAGGCCCUGCAGGCCCUGGGGGUCCCGGGCCGAGUCAACAGCUCCGGGACCGUCGCCGUGAACUCUGUGGCUGUGGACGCCUGGGUCCUGGUCACCAUCAACAACAGCACACUGCAGGGGCUACUCAUCCUCAAGACUACGGAGGUGAGGGCACGGGCGUCGGGGUGCCUGGGGCCGCCAGGGAAGGGGUGCUGAGGCCCGAGGAGAAGCACCGGGCACUCUCCUAGAUCCAAAGAGGCCCCGGGAGAUGGGAGCCUCAGGACCCAGACGUGGAGGAAUAGGGCUUCUAAGAAGAAGCCCCUUGGCCCCCCGCUUUUCUCUUGCUUGUUUGCUUAAAAAAAAAAAGUUUUAUCGAAGUGCAACAUGAAUACUAUGAGGAGGGUGCAGAGAUGAAAAAUGCUCAGCUUGGUGAAAUUUUCGCAAACCAAACACCACCUACCUCAAAGCACGGAAUGUGACCAGAACCCCAGAAGCCCCCGCUGGCCCCCUUCCGCUCACCAGCCAGGCCCAGGAGCCCCCACGCACGCACGUUCUUGACGGUCACGUCUGUAGGAGCACACAGCGUGUUCCUUUUCCCAGCUCCCUCCUCUUGUUAAACAUUAAUUAAACACAAAUUAAAAUUAAUUAAACACAAAUAAACAUUGUGCAGGGCACCUGGGGGGCACAGUCGGUUAAGCCUCUGACUCUUGGUUUUGACUCGUGAUCUCGGGAUGGUGAGAUGGAGCCUCGCGUCGGGCUCUGCACUCAGUGUGGAGUCUGCUUAAGACUUUCUCUCCCUCUCCUCCUUCUUCC
rnacentral:lncRNA from 1 species